rnacentral:lncRNA from 10 species
CCCGGCUGCCAUCACAUCUAGGAAGUGAGGAGCGUCUCUGCCCGGCCGCCCAUUGUCUGAGAUGUGGGGCGCGCCUCUGCCCCGCCACCCUGUCUGGGAUGUGAGGAGCGCCUCUGCCCGGCCGCGACCCUGUCUCGGAGAAAUAAGGAACAAAUGUUGGAAACAAUAUCCCAACUCUCCCAGAAUCUGAAGUGACACAUUAUGAAACUGGUGGAAGACAAGAUGUUUCUUGGAAUUGAGCUGGACACCCAAAAUCACCCCAUUUCUCAGGCAGCCAAAAGUCUCCUGCAGCCCUGGUGAAUCAUUUCAUCCCAUAUAUCCUGCUUCGCUCUGGAUCUAGCUGGUGCAUGACAGGAGAUGGAGAAGAGGGAGGACACAUGAAAGUCCCCAUCUUAUUCAGCCAGGAAGCAAGUGAAGCCAAAUGAAGAGCCAUAGAAGACAGGAGGCCCUGGUUCUUCUCCCAUAGAGUAUAGCAAUCUAAGGAUGUUUGAGGGUCAUCAUUAGCCCCAUUACCUUCUCUGCUGCUUGGAGGUCAUUUCUACCUUUUGUUCCUGAUCCUGGCAGGGAUGCUGUGCCAUUUGUUCUCAG